GGACUAAGAAAAAAAUCUCUUUGAUUUGUAAAUGAAUGUUCAUCUGUUGAAAAGACUCAAUUCUCUUUAUCCAGGAAUAGACCCUGGUGACUGGACAAAGGGAAACAUCACUCCUGUUUUCAAGAAAGGGUGAAAGGAAGACCUGUGGAACUACAGGCCUUACCUCUGUGCCUGGGAAGAUCAUGGAGUAGAUCCUCAAGGAAUCUACGCUGAGGCACAUGCAAGACAGGAAGUGACCUGAGACAGUCAGCACAGCUUCAUCAAGAGCAGAUCGUGCCUGACCCAUCUGGUAACCUGCUACGAUGACAGCUUCAGAAGACAAAGUAAAGUAACUGAUGUCAUCUACCUGGAUUUCUGCAAGGCCUUUCACAUAGUCCCACACCACAUUCCUGUCUCUAAAUUGGGAAGAUAUGGAUUUGAAGGGUGGACUAUUCAGUGGAUAAAGAAUUGGUUGGGUUGCAGCUAGAGGGCUGUUGUGGCUCAGUGUUCAGAUGGAGGCUAAUCAUGAGCAGUGUUCCCCAGAGGUCUGUCUACUCAAAGUUUUCAUAGAUGAAAUAGACACUGGGAUCAAGUGUACCCUCAGCAAGUUUGCAGAUGACACUUAGUAAUGUGGAGCAAUUGGCAUAAUAGAAAAAAAAAAAGGGACUCUAUCCAGAAGGACCUGAACAGGAUUUAAAAUUGGGCCCACAUGAGCCUAAUGAGAUUCAACAAGGCCAAAUACAAGGUGCUGCAUUCGGGCUGGGGCAAUCCCAAAUAUAUUUAUGGACUCAUUGAGAAGGACUCAUUGAGAGCAGCCCUGUGAAGGCCUUGAUAGUUCUAGUGGAUUGAAAACUGAACAAAAGCCAGCAGUGUACUUUUGCAGCCCAGAAGGUCAACAGUAUCCUGGACUGCAUCAAAAGAGGGGUGGCCAGCAGGGCAAAGUAUGUGAUUGUCCCCCUCUGCUCUGCCCUCAUGAGGCCUCACCUGGAGUAAUGCAUUCAGGCCUGGGCACCCAGCACAGGAAAGAUGUAGAGCCAUUGGAAUACGUCCAGAGGAAGGCCAUGAGGGUGACAAGAGGGCUGCAGCACCUCUCUUAUGAAGAAAGAUUGUGGGAGCUGGGCUUGUUUAGCUUGGAGAAGAGAAAGCUUUCAGUACCUGAGGGGAUCUUAUAAGCAUGAGAGAUCCCAACUUUUUACAUGGUCUAACAGUGAGAUGAUAGGGGAAAUGGCUUUAAACUAGAAGAAGAGAAAUUUCUGAAUGUCUUUAAGAAACUCUUUACUCAGAGAGUGAUGAGGAUCUGGAACAGGUUACCCAGAGAAUCUGUGGAUGUCCCGUCCCUGGAGGCACUCAAGACCAGGUUGGAUGCGGCCCUCAGUAGCCUGAUCUGGUGGCAACUCUGUCAACAGCAGAGGGUUGGAACUGAGUGUUCUUUAGUAUUCCUUCCAACCUAAGAUAUUAUUUAGUCCUAUGAUUCUAUGAUGAUAUUAGUAUAUUUGCUGUAUAAGAUUUUCACCACCAGCACCAAGAAGACAGUAAAAUUUUGUCAUUGAUUUAGAAUUAUCUGGCCUAAACUAAAAUUUUCACAACAG
ensembl:lncRNA